rnacentral:rRNA from 1 species
GUUUGAUCCUAGGCUCAGAGUUGAACGGCUGGCGGCAUGCUUUACACAUGCAAGUCGAACGGCAGCACGGGUGCUUGCACCUGGUGGCGAGUGGCGGACGGGUGAGUAAUGCAUCGGAACGUGUCCUAAAGUGGGGGAUAACGCAUCGAAAGAUGUGCUAAUACCGCAUAUUCUCUGAGGAGGAAAGUAGGGGAUCGAAAGACCUUAUGCUUUUGGAGCGGCCGAUGUCUGAUUAGCUAGUUGGUAGGGUAAUGGCUUACCAAGGCGACGAUCAGUAGUUGGUCUGAGAGGACGACCAGCCACACUGGGACUGAGACACGGCCCAGACUCCUACGGGAGGCAGCAGUGGGGAAUUUUGGACAAUGGGCGCAAGCCUGAUCCAGCAAUGCCGCGUGAGUGAAGAAGGCCUGG